rnacentral:rRNA from 1 species
UACGUAGGGGUGCGAGCGUUGUCCGGAAUUAUUGGGCGUAAAGAGCUUGUAGGCGGUUUGUCGCGUCUGCCGUGAAAGCCCAGGGCUUAACCCUGGGUCUGCGGUGGGUACGGGCAGACUAGAGUGAUGUAGGGGAGACUGGAAUUCCUGGUGUAGCGGUGAAAUGCGCAGAUAUCAGGAGGAACACCGAUGGCGAAGGCAGGUCUCUGGGCAUUAACUGACGCUGAGGAGCGAAAGCAUGGGGAGCGAACAGG